UACGGAGGGUGCGAGCGUUAAUCGGAAUAACUGGGCGUAAAGGGUGCGUAGGUGGUUGUAUAAGUUAUCUGUGAAAUUCCUGGGCUUAACCUGGGCGAGUCAGAUAAGACUGUAGAGCUAGAGUAUAGGAGAGGGUAGUGGAAUUUCCGGUGUAGCGGUGAAAUGCGUAGAGAUCGGAAGGAACACCAGUGGCGAAGGCGGCUACCUGGCCUAAUACUGACACUGAGGCACGAAAGCGUGGGGAGCAAACAGG
rnacentral:rRNA from 1 species